GCCACCCAGUUAGUAUGGUGGAUAUGACCCUCGGCUGGUAACCGAGUGGGUUUGGUUUCGAAUCCCGAGUGUAAGGCA
rnacentral:tRNA from 1 species